UACGGAGGAUGCAAGCGUUAUCCGGAAUGAUUGGGCGUAAAGGGCGCGUAGGCGGAUAGUUUAGUCAGAGGUGAAAGCCCAGGGCUCAACCUUGGAAUUGCCUUUGAUACUGGCUAUCCUGAGUUCGGGAGAGGUGAGUGGAAUGCCGAGUGUAGAGGUGAAAUUCGUAGAUAUUCGGCGGAACACCAGUGGCGAAGGCGACUCACUGGCCCGAUACUGACGCUGAGGCGCGAAAGCGUGGGGAGCAAACAGG
rnacentral:rRNA from 1 species